rnacentral:tRNA from 2 species
GCUGGUGUAGCUCAGUUGGUAGAGCAGCUGAUUUGUAAUCAGCUGGCCGGGGGUUCAAGUCCCUCCACCAGCUCAA